rnacentral:lncRNA from 1 species
CAGACUUAUAAUUUAUAUAUAUAAAAGUUCACAUCAUUAACAAAUACAGAAAUGAAAGCUUUUGAAAUUCUCAAGCUGUUCAACUGCCAACUUGGGAAACCUACAAAUCUGGACAUUUAAAAAGUAAGAAAUAGACAAAUUUUUUUAAUUUCUUAACUUCUUAAUUUUGAAAUUAAGCAUAUGCUACACUGUUGCUAUGUCAACAUUUCACGAGUACCGCCAUAUUGGUACAGACGUACCUGCCUCUGCUUCAACAUUAAAUAUAUUAUAGCCUAUACUAUAAUAUAUUAUACUAUUGUAGUAUGUACUAUACAUAUUAAAUAUAUUGUAGCAUUAAAUAUAUUCGUAAAAUAAUAAAAUUUUGUUUCGGUACAACUUAGUACGUAUUUCCGUGUUACAGUAAAGUUACCCGUGUCCAAAACUUUGUGUUCAAAGCGUACACGAAAUUUGCUAAGUACUCUAUUAGUUUUGAAUGGUAGAAGUUUCAUCGCAAAACGUCGGUGUCUUUUCUCCACCAUGCUUAUAUAAUAUGUACAAUAACGUGCGCUCGUUGAAUGUCUCUUUUUUUUGUUUUUGUCAUUUUUUGUUCUUUACUGUCGCGAAACGUAGUAUCGUUCCGAUCGACGACGGAUCGAGAAGGUAUAAAAAAAAGGCCAGGGACACUGACACUUAUCUCCAUCCACCUAGAAACUAAGAUAUUUACAAAUCUACAAGCGAAUGUGCCUCGUCUACAUUGUCUAUGAGUAGGCUGCACAGAAUCAAAGCGUAUCAAAACGACACUUUUCCUUUUUUGCGCGAUAAAACGUUAAUCAUCUCGUAGAUUACAGUGCUCUCCCAAAUGAAUCGCACCGACUCGACGAAUCUCUCGACUAUACUUCGUCUCGUCUAUUUUUUUUACUUUUCUGUUUCGUUUAACCCCCGUCUCGAUUUUCUUUGCUCUUAAAUUGAAAAAAUACUAUGUCAUGUACAGAUUGUACGCACUGUGCGCGAUCGAAUCGAUCGACCUCAGAAGAUAACAACCUACGUAACGCUAGAAAUAGAAAUAGAAGUAGAAAUAGAAUUCUAUGGGAAUCGGCGAGGGUGUCUAAGACAUGCCGCUCAUCGACCACGUACACUUACGAUGCUCUAUUUACACGACGACGAUCGUACGCGUCAUGAUAUUAUAAGUACUCCGUUUGUUAUUUCAUUUUUCGUUUAUCUUCCUUCGGAUCUCGUCCGAAGAGAAUCGUUCAUUUCGUCGAGAUGAAAUCUAACCAGAAGAAUGCGUGGCUAUUUAUUGUAUUCGCAGUUUGUACUAAAAUUUUGCCUUGUUUCGCAACAAGGGCUGAGAAACACGCUUGUGAACGCGGCAUCUCGACUCGUGAAUGAGUAGUCGGUGGAAUAUCCAGUUAUGAUUGUAUAAUGAACUGCAACUUAGGCUUUCGUUGGUUAAAAACAAGCAUAAAUGAAGAAAUUCACCAUUUGCCGUUGAUUAACUCUGGGGAGAGCCUGAAGAAACCCUAGGAAAACUUAAAUUCUAAAGGGAGGUCAUACAGGAUUGGGAGAGAUAGGAAGAUAACAAUAGGAAACUAGGAAUAAUACUAGAAAACUAAGAACAACAUUAGAAAAUUAAGGAUUACAAUAGGAGACUAGGAAUGAUACUAGGAACCCACUCAGAUCAAGAUCAUAGAAGCAUGUAGAGGAUCAUGAUAGAAUUUAGGGUGAACUCUAAGAGAACCCUAAAGAAAUCUAAAGGAGAUAUUGAUAUCUAAAGAAGAUAUAGUUUAGGAACAUAGGAAAUGGCUAAGGAACUUAGGAAAUAUACAAAGGAAUUUUAUAAGUUCAAGAGUUGGGGACUUUGAGAAGUUGGAACCUUGGGAUUUUGAAAGACUAAGAUGAGGUUAGUGAGUUUUAGAUUAUUAAGAUCUUUAUAUUAUAGCAUAACAUUUUGGAAUCUUGGAGAAUUAUGAUGGAUUGUUGAAAAAGAUAUAGUCCAUAACGGUCCAGAAAGAACCUAGAACUUAAAAUACACUUAGAACUUAGGUACAACCUAAAUGUACCUAGAAGCAACCUAGAUGUGACCUAAGGUAAACACAGAAGGAUCCUAGAAAUAUUCUAAGGAGAAUUUUGGAAAUCUAGAAAUGUCUUAGGAGCAGCCCUGGGAUAACCUAGGGUAAAAUCAGUUCUCCAGUUCUCCACAGACCAAAAAUGAUGGAACCUUCCUUCAUAUUUUUGCCUAAUUAGAGAAAGCCUAAGUUGCACCGUACUUCCGUGUAUGAUUGAUCCGUCAACUCUCCAACAACAAGAAUCUAACCGGAAGUCGGUAUUCUUCCCACCGACAAGGAAACAUCGUGGAGAAAUAGAAAAAUGAUCGAGUAGAAAAAUGUCUUCACAUGUAGCCGUCCGGCAAAUAUCAACUUGGAAACAGUAACGAGCGUAGCAAACAAAAAAGAUCGUGUAGCACCUUGUCUCGUAUCACCAGCGACCUUAUCGUCGUUAAACUUAAGAAAGAAAAGGAAACGGAAAGAGACAACUCUUCGUGAUUAACACCUUGACGGCAAUCAGUCACUACACUGCACCGCGUGAUUCGAAGGUUAGGACAAAAUGUUUUGAAACCAACCGAACUUAUCGCGAAGAACGCGACGCAGUGAUCAGGUCAGGUUAGACUUAUCUCCAACCGUGAUAAUUUGUUGAAAAUGGCGGUUUGUUCGCGAAACAUUUCCUCGAAACGAAAACGAGAAAUUGACUACUCUACGUAAGAUUUCUAAAUGAGUGUCGAUAUAAGGCAAGAGGUUAAAUACAAAAUGGAGAAAGUUGCAAGAGCUUGAAUGACACGAGAGGCCGUCAAAGCGUCGUUCUAAGUACGUUUCAAGAGUAUUGGAAAGAUUCGCUAAAAGCUCGAGGCUGUGUUGAAGAACAGGCCAUUUUCUUCGAUUGAUCAAAAUACAAGGCUUGGGCUUCGAUUUUGCUGAUUUGUGACUCUUUGAUGAAGAUCUCAUGGAAGAUAGCCCGGACUUAAAUGGCAGAGGAGUAUAGCCAGUUUUGCCCACUUUUCAGAUUAACAAAUUUUCCUUUCAUGCAACUUCAUUUGUGUCAACAUAACAAAGUACAGUAUUAAAUGAACCAAAUCCCACAGAAGAAACUCUUCGAAUCGCUUCAGGGCAAUGUUACAUCUGGCGAGUGAGCUGAAUGAAUCUACCGUACAACAUCUUUCUCAUAUACAUAUACAGCUUUUACUGAGCGAGCUUAAUGGAUGUUUCAUGUUAACAAUGUCUGACAUCCAACAAGAACUGUGUUUACAAACAUGACCUACCUUCGUAAACAGAGUUGUUCUGCACGCUGACUGAGUGGGAAAAUUCCAAUAUAAAACGAUUUAUUUGGGAAUAUUUCGAUGUCUAUUUUUCGACGACAACAAGUAGCCAACAAGAGAACUCUUGCUUUUGGGUUUCUUCGCGACUAUCGUUUCCGUCAG